rnacentral:lncRNA from 1 species
GCGUUUUAGUUGGCUUGCCACGUCGGCGUAGAAAGUGGGUCCCACCUGUCAGAUCAAAGAGGGAUUCAGGUCAAAAGCUUAAAUGGGGUCAUUGGCAUAAUUUUUGCUAAGAUGGGGUAAAAAACAGAAAUCCCACUAAACGAGAUCACAUUGUAAAAAAGAAUUGAAACUUAGGGGUAAAAAAAUAGAAUUACUAAAAAAAUACGCAAUCAAUUGUCGAUUUGGGAUGCGGACUCGAGUGACGACGAUAAGUCCUCCUGAUCGAAUCGGAGGCACCGCCCCAAUCGAGCACCUCUCUCAUCGAUCUCCGGCCCUGCUCCACUCUCUGGCUACUCGUCGCGCCACCAUUUGUUCGGUAGCCAUUUCAAUUCUCCAUCUCCGGCAACCGUCGCGCAGUCGUCGCCAUGCUCCACCUAUCAUCUUCGGUCACCU